CACGUAGUUAGCCGUGGCUUUCUGGUUAGGUACCGUCAAGGUACCGGCAGUUACUCCGGUACUUGUUCUUCCCUAACAACAGAGCUUUACGACCCGAAGGCCUUCAUCGCUCACGCGGCGUUGCUCCGUCAGACUUUCGUCCAUUGCGGAAGAUUCCCUACUGCUGCCUCCCGUAGGAGUCUGGGCCGUGUCUCAGUCCCAGUGUGGCCGAUCACCCUCUCAGGUCGGCUACGCAUCGUCGCCUUGGUGAGCCGUUACCUCACCAACUAGCUAAUGCGCCGCGGGCCCAUCUGUAAGUGUCAGCGUAAACCGACUUUCAGCUUUCCCUCAUGAGAGGGAAAGGAUUAUCCGGUAUUAGCACCGGUUUCCCGGUGUUAUCCCAGUCUUACAGGCAGGUUGCCCAGUGUUACUCACCCGUCCGCCGCUAACCAACAGGAGCAAGCUCCUAUUGAUUCGCUCGACUUGCAUGUAUUAGGCACGCCGCCAGCGUUCGUCCUGUAGCCAGGAUCGUAAACUACUC
rnacentral:rRNA from 1 species